UACGUAGGGUGCAAGCGUUGUCCGGAAUUUAUUAGGCGUAAAGAGCUCGUAGGCGGUCUGUUGCGUCGGCUGUGAAAACCCGAGGCUCAACCUCGGGCCUGCAGCCGAUACGGGCAGACUAGAGUUCGGCAGGGGAGACUGGAAUUCCUGGUGUAGCGGUGAAAUGCGCAGAUAUCAGGAGGAACACCGGUGGCGAAGGCGGGUCUCUGGGGCCGAUACUGACGUGGAGGA
rnacentral:rRNA from 1 species